rnacentral:misc_RNA from 1 species
AGUCCCCCAAGCGACGGGCUCUCUCACCAGAGCGAGGGAGGGACAGGGACCACUCACCACCCACACGAUCCCGAGAUCUGUCACCAAAGAGAUAUAGGUCAGAGCGUUCCCCGCAACGAAGAGAUCGGUCUCCUAGAGACAGUUACAGAGAUAAUUAUAGAGACAGAGAUAGAGAUAGUUAUAGGGAUAGAGAAAGAGACAGGUGGAGGUGAUAGUGGUUAAAAAGUGAUUAUAUCACACCUAGAGACAACGACAGAGGCAGAUCGAAGUGAUGGUGAAUAGAUACCAUAAUACACAUACUAGAGAUUGAUAGAUCCAAGUGAUCAACAAACCAGAGACCAUAAUGCCAACACUUUUACAAAGUUUUUGGAGGAGGAUUUCUUUUGUUUGGUUUAGACAAACGAAUGGUGUCUUAUAGGGAAAAUUGUCUAAUGAAUGUGUCUGAAAGAAUAUUUGUGCUAAGAGCGAGGUUGUGUUUGAGUGAAUUAUACAAAUGACUUUAAAUGUACUUCAUUAAAUGUAGAAAUGGAAGUAAAAGUAUAUACA